rnacentral:misc_RNA from 1 species
AAAGUCGUAACAAGGUUUCCGUAGGUGAACCUGCGGAAGGAUCAUUAAAAGUAAUAAGUACUCUGUACUCAUUAUAAACCCAUCUGCGUAUCUUACCCGUUGCUUCCGUGGCGUGCGGUCGCUUGGCUCAGGCCCUGCGGCCCUCCCCCACGGGAGGUAUGCAUCAAACCAUUGCAUUGCCAUGAUCUCAGUCUGAAAUGUAAACAACAAAAGUUAAAACUUUCAACAACGGAUCUCUUGGUUCUC